CAAAGAGCAGAAAGAGUGCAACGGAACGAACAAAUAGAUUGUAAGUAUGCAUUACGAGGGUAUCCACUUGCAUUUCAGUAUUGGAUUUAUGAGGCAUUUUCAGAAAUUG